rnacentral:lncRNA from 1 species
CCAGCUAUUAAUUUGAAAUCCCAAACGUUAUUGUAAUGCAAGCUGAUAUGAAGAUGAUAUUUUCCCUCUGUGAUGCCAUUUAACUGAUUUGUUUUCACGGCUUAGUUCACAAUCUCAAGCUCUGCUGGGACUGUUUUCCAGUUAGAAACUCAAUACACUGUGUAUGUGUGCUGCCCAAACAGAAUCCCACUUAGUGCUCUCUUGCCUGGUCCCAAAGACCUGUACUCACUAUACCUAUAUUCACACCAUCGCUGAUACCCAGAGCAAGUACUUUGCUUCUUCAAUUUCAAGAUGACCACUGCCUGCUUAUCCUGGCUUGAAAGGAGCACAGGACACAAAGUCAGCUAUUUCUAUACCUGUGAGAGAUAAACCACCCCUGCGAUCCCUUGCCAGCCUGUCCCACACCCUUUACCUUCCAUCCUUCCUUCUUUCCCUCUCCUGGCUGAGACACGGCAUUCUCCCACCCCUGGCCCUGGCUCCUCUGGCACUCAGCCACCCUUCUGCAGCAGGUCUGACUGGAUCUGAUGUCUGCCAGAGACUGUUCCUCAUCGGCCGGGCCCUGGAGGUAAGAGCAGUGACUGAGAAAGGCUUCUCCCAAGUAAAAUAUGACUUAUUCAUAGGAACAGAGCACUUGGGGAGAAAAAUGUUAAUGUGAGAUGAGCCAAUGUCUCACUGGAAAGAUCUACAGGCCUAGCUCUUGCUUGACCCCACUUUCUGGAUGGAAAUACCCCUGAAGACUUCACUUUUCUUAGCUUCAGAGCAGAGAUCUUCUCUGUAACAAAGCAAUGCCUCUGUUUUGUGUGUUUGUGAGCUCCUUUUGCCAAGCUCGUCUGGUGAAGAAACUAAUGGACACUGGAAACAUUCCUGUGACUGCCCUGCUUCAUGUACCACAUGCUGCACAUCCGCACAAAAGGAGUCCCUGCUUCUAAAAUUGAACUCUCUUUCUUAACAACCUCAUUUACCAGGACACUGAGCUGGCAAAUCAGAUGCACACGACUUGCCUGGCUGUGCUGCGUCCAAGCUCUGCCUUCCUGCAAUGUAGGCUCUCCCCUUGAAGUUCACUGCAGCCUCCUCUAGGAUGAUUGUUUUCAGUUCCAGAAGAUGAAGUGCAGCAGAUGAACACCCAAAUAAGGAUGAAUUUUAAAGGACCUAAGGAAGCAUGGUCCCAAAAUGUAAGUUUUAUACAUGUUAAAAAUACCUAUUUAAUGGUAUACUUCAUAUUAAAACAGAGGUUUUCAGUAGCAGACCUUAGGUAAUGCACACACAGGAAACAGAUUUAGAGUUGCUUUCUUUUUCUUUAAAAGUUCCCUGGAUACCCAACAAAACUGAAUUACUAAUGGCUCACGUUUGGGUUGAUCAUGAGUCUUAGCUGAACCUUUUUGUCUAUCUGGGUUAAUUAGGUAUUAUGUUUUCUCUUUUUCACCUAAAUAAAGAUUUUAUUAUGUCUUAAUAUUCCAGCUCCUGCUGCUGCUUUCAUUGUGCAAGUUAAAGAUCUCUGUCAUGCUGAGCCACCUAUUUUCACCAAACAUGUAAAACCUGUAUUGGUUCUGAAAUUUCCACUCAUCUUCAAGAACUAACUGAAACUGGCCAACAAGGAGGUGACCAUUCCCCUUCCUCCUAUGAUAGGGAAAGACUGGAAGAUAGACCUGUGUGACUGCAUAAACACUGUUCCUUAGGAAACAGCCUUAAAAAAAAAAAAUCACUUUUUGGAUCACAUGGUUAAAGCUUUGUAAAUUUGAGGGUUUGAGAUGUGCUAAAUCUUACACGUUCUGCACAGUCCUAUUCACUUGAACAGAACUAAUCACUCAAAUUGUAUAAAGCUAAGUGCUUGUUUAAAUCCUCACAUGACUGAUGACUAAUGUUCACUAUUUAAAAUCCUGUCCAAAGACAAAGGAACUGAUUGUUUCAUUUGAGCAGUCAACUUUCUAAUCAUCAUAGUAAUUUAAAUCUCUAUCAUUUAAAAUGUCUCAGAAGCGUGACCCUGCUUCAUGAACAGAUUUUCCUUCUAUCCUUCUAGAAAAUUUUGCAUACUAAAUACUACCGUGUUAGAAGUAAAAUAUUUUCAGUCUGAAAGUGACUUAAAUUCCAUGCUUUACAACAGAUAUUAAACAAGAAAAAAACUGAGUCAGAAGAUAAAUUUGAUGGGGUUUUUUGAGUGCACGAAAUCUAAAGAGAACUCUGACUUGAUCUUAAAAAUAACCAUCACUGAGUAUUUAAGUGGGUAUAAGGCAGUUUCUGA